rnacentral:rRNA from 1 species
UGGGGAAUCUUGCACAAUGGGCGCAAGCCUGAUGCAGCAACGCCGCGUGCGGGAAGACGGCCCUAGGGUUGUAAACCGCUUUCAGGAGGGAAGAAAAUGACGGUACCUCCAGAAGAAGGUGCGGCCAACUACGUGCCAGCAGCCGCGUGACACGUAGGCACCAAGCGUUAUCCGGAUUUAUUGGGCGUAAAGAGCUCGUAGGCGGUUCGGUAAGUCGGGUGUGAAAAUCCAAGGCUCAACCUUGGGACGCCACCCGAUACUGCUGUGACUCGAGUGCAGUAGGGGAGCAGGGAAUUCCUGGUGUAGCGGUGAAAUGCGCAGAUAUCAGGAGGAACACCAGUGGCGAAGGCGCCGCUCUGGGCCGUAACUGACGCUGAGGAGCGAAAAGCAUGGGUAGCAAAACAGGAUUGAGAUACCCUGGUAGUCCAUGCCGUAAAACGUUGGGCACUAGGUGUGGGUCUCAACCAACGAGAUCCGCGCCGUCGCUAACGCAUUAAGUGCCCCG